rnacentral:rRNA from 1 species
AAAACAUAGCCUUUAGCAAUUAAAAGUAUUAAAGGUGCCGCCUGCCCAGUGACAUGUUAAACGGCCGCGGGAUCCUCCACCGUGCAAAGGUAGCAUAAUCAUUUGUCCCCUAAAUAGGGACUAGUAUGAAUGGCCCAAUGAAGAUUUACCUGUCUCUUGUAGCCAAUCUAUGAAACUGAUCUUCCAGUACAAAAGCUGGAAUAAUAACACAAGACGAAAAGACCCUGUGGAACUUUUAAACCGCAACCAAUACACAUGGCCACGCCGCUUUUAGUUGGGGCAACUUUGGAAAAAAACACAACUUCCAAUCAAGGAG